rnacentral:rRNA from 1 species
AGCGAACGUUUGCGGCGGGCCUAACACAUGCAAGUCGAACGGGUUGGCAACAACCAGUGGCGCACGGGUGCGUAACACGUAGGUAAUCUACCCUCAAGUUCGGGAUAACGAUCUGAAAGGAUCGCUAAUACCGGAUGUGUUCCGAAAGGAAGAAAGACCCGCAAGGGUCGCUAGAGGGCGAGCCUGCGGCCCAUCAGCUAGUUGGUGAGGUAAUGGCUCACCAAGGCUAAGACGGGUAGCUGGUCUGAGAGGAUGAUCAGUCACACUGGAACUGAGACACGGUCCAGACUCCUACGGGAGGCAGCAGUGGGGAAGUAUUGCGCAAUAGGCGGAAAGACCUGACGCAG